rnacentral:rRNA from 1 species
CUGACGUGCUUGCACAGAAGUGCCCUUUAAUUACCAGUGAGCGGCGGACGGGUGAGUAACACGUCUUUAACCUGCCCUGAAGCGGGGGAUAACAUUUGGAAACAGGUGCUAAUACCGCAUAACAACGAAAACCACAUGGUUUUCGUUUCAAAGAUGGUUUCGGCUAUCACUUCAGGAUGGGCCCGCGGUGCAUUAGCUUGUUGGUAGGGUAACGGCCUACCAAGGCAAUGAUGCAUAGCCGAGUUGAGAGACUGAUCGGCCACAAUGGAACUGAGACACGGUCCAUACUCCUACGGGAGGCAGCAGUAGGGAAUCUUCCACAAUGGGCGCAAGCCUGAUGGAGCGACACCGCGUGAGUGAAGAAGGUUUUCGGCUCGUAAAGCUCUGUUGUUGAAGAAGAACGUGCGUGAGAGUAACUGUUCACGCAGUGACGGUAUUCAACCAGAAAGUCACGGCUAACUACGUGCCAGCAGCCGCGGUAAUACGUAGGUGGCAAGCGUUAUCCGGAUUUAUUGGGCGUAAAGCGAGCGCAGGCGGUUGCUUAAGUCUGAUGUGAAAGCCUUCGGCUUAACCGAAGAAGUGCAUCGGAAACUGAGCGACUUGAGUGCAGAAGAGGACAGUGGAACUCCAUGUGUAGCGGUGGAAUGCGUAGAUAUAUGGAAGAACACCAGUGGCGAAGGCGGCUGUCUGGUCUGCAACUGACGCUGAGGCUCGAAAGCAUGGGUAGCGAACAGGAUUAGAUACCCUGGUAGUCCAUGCCGUAAACGAUGAGUGCUAGGUGUUGGAGGGUUUCCGCCCUUCAGUGCCGCAGCUAACGCAUUAAGCACUCCGCCUGGGGAGUACGACCGCAAGGU